rnacentral:rRNA from 1 species
GGGUUGUGAGGUUAAGCGACUAAGCGUACACGGUGGAUGCCCUGGCAGUCAGAGGCGAUGAAGGGCGUGCUAAUCUGCGAUAAGCGCCGGUAAGGUGAUAUGAACCGUUAUAACCGGCGAUACCCGAAUGGGGAAACCCAGUGUGAUUCGUCACACUAUCAUUAACUGAAUCCAUAGGUUAAUGAGGCGAACCGGGGGAACUGAAACAUCUAAGUACCCCGAGGAAAAGAAAUCAACCGAGAUUCCCCCAGUAGCGGCGAGCGAACGGGGAGGAGCCCAGAGCCUGAAUCAGCAUGUGUGUUAGUGGAAGCGUCUGGAAAGGCGCGCGAUACAGGGUGACAGCCCCGUACACAAAAGCGCAUGUGCUGUGAGCUCGAUGAGUAGGGCGGGACACGUGGUAUCCUGUCUGAAUAUGGGGGGACCAUCCUCCAAGGCUAAAUACUCCUGACUGACCGAUAGUGAACCAGUACCGUGAGGGAAAGGCGAAAAGAACCCCGGCGAGGGGAGUGAAAAAGAACCUGAAACCGUGUACGUACAAGCAGUGGGAGCACAGGUUUACCUGUGUGACUGCGUACCUUUUGUAUAAUGGGUCAGCGACUUAUAUUCUGUAGCAAGGUUAACCGAAUAGGGGAGCCGGAGGGAAACCGAGUCUUAAUUGGGCGUUAAGUUGCAGGGUAUAGACCCGAAACCCGGUGAUCUAGCCAUGGGCAGGUUGAAGGUUGGGUAACACUAACUGGAGGACCGAACCGACUAAUGUUGAAAAAUUAGCGGAUGACCUGUGGCUGGGGGUGAAAGGCCAAUCAAACCGGGAGAUAGCUGGUUCUCCCCGAAAGCUAUUUAGGUAGCGCCUCGUGAAUUCAUCUCCGGGGGUAGAGCACUGUUUCGGCUAGGGGGCCAUCCCGGCUUACCAACCCGAUGCAAACUGCGAAUACCGGAGAAUGUUAUCACGGGAGACACACGGCGGGUGCUAACGUCCGUCGUGAAGAGGGAAACAACCCAGACCGCCAGCUAAGGUCCCAAAGUCAUGGUUAAGUGGGAAACGAUGUGGGAAGGCCCAGACAGCCAGGAUGUUGGCUUAGAAGCAGCCAUCAUUUAAAGAAAGCGUAAUAGCUCACUGGUCGAGUCGGCCUGCGCGGAAGAUGUAACGGGGCUAAACCAUGCACCGAAGCUGCGGCAGCGAACGUAUCACUUAAAGCGAUUCAGCGGGUUACGAUUGACGGAGCGAAGCGACGUCAAAGCGUAUACAAAGUCGAGUCGGUUUAAGGAUACGUUCGUUGGGUAGGGGAGCGUUCUGUAAGCCCGUGAAGGUGGCCUGUGAGGGUUGCUGGAGGUAUCAGAAGUGCGAAUGCUGACAUAAGUAACGAUAAAGCGGGUGAAAAGCCCGCUCGCCGGAAGACCAAGGGUUCCUGUCCAACGUUAAUCGGGGCAGGGUGAGUCGACCCCUAAGGCGAGGCCGAAAGGCGUAGUCGAUGGGAAACGGGUUAAUAUUCCCGUACUUGGUGUUACUGCGAAGGGGGGACGGAGAAGGCUAUGUUGGCCGGGCGACGGUUGUCCCGGUUUAAGCGUGUAGGUGUGUGUUCCAGGUAAAUCCGGUUCACUUUAACACUGAGGCGUGACGACGAGGCACUACGGUGCUGAAGCAACAAAUGCCCUGCUUCCAGGAAAAGCCUCUAAGCAUCAGGUAACACGAAAUCGUACCCCAAACCGACACAGGUGGUCAGGUAGAGAAUACCAAGGCGCUUGAGAGAACUCGGGUGAAGGAACUAGGCAAAAUGGUGCCGUAACUUCGGGAGAAGGCACGCUGACACGUAGGUGAAGUGAUUUACUCAUGGAGCUGAAGUCAGUCGAAGAUACCAGCUGGCUGCAACUGUUUAUUAAAAACACAGCACUGUGCAAACACGAAAGUGGACGUAUACGGUGUGACGCCUGCCCGGUGCCGGAAGGUUAAUUGAUGGGGUCAGCGCAAGCGAAGCUCCUGAUCGAAGCCCCGGUAAACGGCGGCCGUAACUAUAACGGUCCUAAGGUAGCGAAAUUCCUUGUCGGGUAAGUUCCGACCUGCACGAAUGGCGUAAUGAUGGCCAGGCUGUCUCCACCCGAGACUCAGUGAAAUUGAACUCGCUGUGAAGAUGCAGUGUACCCGCGGCAAGACGGAAAGACCCCGUGAACCUUUACUAUAGCUUGACACUGAACAUUGAGCCUUGAUGUGUAGGAUAGGUGGGAGGCUUUGAAGUGUGGACGCCAGUCUGCAUGGAGCCGACCUUGAAAUACCACCCUUUAAUGUUUGAUGUUCUAACGUGGACCCGUAAUCCGGGUUGCGGACAGUGUCUGGUGGGUAGUUUGACUGGGGCGGUCUCCUCCUAAAGAGUAACGGAGGAGCACGAAGGUUGGCUAAUCCUGGUCGGACAUCAGGAGGUUAGUGCAAUGGCAUAAGCCAGCUUGACUGCGAGCGUGACGGCGCGAGCAGGUGCGAAAGCAGGUCAUAGUGAUCCGGUGGUUCUGAAUGGAAGGGCCAUCGCUCAACGGAUAAAAGGUACUCCGGGGAUAACAGGCUGAUACCGCCCAAGAGUUCAUAUCGACGGCGGUGUUUGGCACCUCGAUGUCGGCUCAUCACAUCCUGGGGCUGAAGUAGGUCCCAAGGGUAUGGCUGUUCGCCAUUUAAAGUGGUACGCGAGCUGGGUUUAGAACGUCGUGAGACAGUUCGGUCCCUAUCUGCCGUGGGCGCUGGAGAACUGAGGGGGGCUGCUCCUAGUACGAGAGGACCGGAGUGGACGCAUCACUGGUGUUCGGGUUGUCAUGCCAAUGGCACUGCCCGGUAGCUAAAUGCGGAAGAGAUAAGUGCUGAAAGCAUCUAAGCACGAAACUUGCCCCGAGAUGAGUUCUCCCUGAGACUUAGAGUCUCCUGAAGGAACGUUGAAGACGACGACGUUGAUAGGCCGGGUGUGUAAGCGCAGCGAUGCGUUGAGCUAACCGGUACUAAUGAACCGUGAGGCUUAACCUUACAACGCCGAAG